rnacentral:rRNA from 1 species
UUCCAGACUCCUACGGGAGGCAGCAGUGAGGAAUAUUGGUCAAUGGGCGGGAGCCUGAACCAGCCAAGUCGCGUGAGGGAUGACGGCCCUAUGGGUUGUAAACCUCUUUUGCCGGGGAGCAAAGGGCCGCACGUGUGCGGUUUGGAGAGUACCCGGAGAAAAAGCAUCGGCUAACUCCGUGCCAGCAGCCGCGGUAAUACGGAGGAUGCGAGCGUUAUCCGGAUUUAUUGGGUUUAAAGGGUGCGUAGGCGGAGGCUUAAGGCAGCGGUAAAAUCGCGGGGCCCAACCUCGCCCCGCCGGUGAAACUGGCGUUCUUGAGGGGGCGAGAAGUAUGCGGAAUGCGUGGUGGAGCGGUGAAA